rnacentral:rRNA from 1 species
GACGUAGGGCGCGAGCGUUGUCCGGAUUUAUUGGGCGUAAAGCGCUCGCAGGCGGCCCGAUGCGUCGUGCGUGAAAGACCCCGGCUCAACUGGGGGGCGUCGUGCGAUACGGUCGGGCUUGAGGCCAGUAGGGGGAUGCGGAAUUCCAGGUGUAGCGGUGAAAUGCGUAGAUAUCAUUUGGAACGCCAAUGGUGAAAACAGGUAGCUGGGAGUGUGCUGACGCUGAGACACGAAAGCCAGGGGAGCGAACGGG